UAUACACAAGACCAACAGAACGGAAUCGCCGAAUCGGUGAUGACGGGAGAGCAGUGAAUCCCAGUGAUGUUGAGUUUAAAAAAGAAAAAUAAUUUUGGAAACUUUUUCGGUGAGCUUGAGAGGAUGGAUGCACAAAACAGAUUUGCUAUGAUUUUCCCUGGAUUUAUAGACGACGAAAUUCCCCGCUCACCGACCAACAUCGAUUCCAGACGCAUUUGCAGAGAUUUCAAGUUAAGAGAAAGCGAUCGCAUGCCUGCAGAUGGUAAACCAAAAAUCCACAGUUAUUCUCAUAAAAAUUGGAAGAGAAACAGCCUGAUCAUGGGCGAUCGAUGAGGAAAAUAUACAUGGGGAGAUGAAGCAUCGGUCAUUUGUUUUUAUUUUGAAAGAAAUCUAUGAUUUGGUCGUCGUUCUUAUCCUUCAAAUUGUCAACAUAUCUGUUUUCCUUUUUUUGGAUAGGUUUCCGCAGUUUAUGUCGUAGUUUCGAUCAUCCUCUUCAGUUUUGAGUACUACUCGAACUCCGUAUGAUAUUAUUCUGCCCGGUGUAGACUGAAACUCCUCUGAAAUUACAAGUUUUGGCUCAAGGCUAAACUCGUUGAAGUCUACGUUACUUGGAACGUGGAAGAUGAACAUGUGAUGUGCUGAGAAUGCCUCUUUGUCAUUGCUGCUACGAGUACUCUCCGGUGGGAGAACGAAAUCGGGCUUGAGGUCAAUUCGGUAGGACUGGUUAUCUUCCUGUUUACAGCUAUAAGAAGAUGACGAGAGCUUUAUGUGAUAAGGACUCUGACAAGCAAUUAUGAUACAGGCAUCAAAACCCACAAACUCAGAGGCAUGCCAUAUUGGGGGUAUGCUGAUUUCUCUGGAAUAUUCCCUUGCUUGAUAGUCGAAGUAGAUGGGCACUCUACUUCCAGAUAAGCAAGCAAAACGCUGAGGCACCUAUUAAGAUCAAAUAUAAAAGAAAAGAUAUGGAACUGGAAUCGAUGUAUGAAUUGAGCAAGGGAGAAACACAAGGGAAGAAAGUUCACCUCUUCCUUUCGUCCACAUCUCAGAAAUCGAUCCAUCAGAUUCGCAACUUCAUUCAAUUUGGGGCAGUAGCUAAGAUCAACGUGUUUUAUGGAAUGAUCCAAGGGAAGGUGAAUAAUUUCCAGGGAAGUGCAGCCACGUGCAUAGAGAGAUGUAAGGUUUGGUGGAAGCUGUACCAUUGACUUGAGUUUCUUGCAGUCAUUGAGGCAGAGAGUAUUCAACAGCCUAAGGAAUCUGAUAGUUACAGGCAUCGUCACCAUAUCAUUUCCGCUGAGGUCUAAGUAUGUUAAAUUGGUGCAAUGACUAAACGUAUAUGACAAUUCAAAAACAUCAUUGCAGUUGUCAAGCCAAAGCUCAGCUAAGCGGUAUCCACGCUCAUCUUUUCUGGCAGCUGAAUGUCCUAGUGGACUUUGGAGAAGUAUACAGUUAGAAAGUUUGAGUGUCUCCAGUUGAGGUAGUUUUGGUAGUGUUUGAAGUUUGAGGCAGUUGCAAAGCCUGAGAGAUUUCAUACUAGAAAGAUUUUCCAUAUCUGUGGGUAGGCAUGUGAAAUCAUUUCCGCUGAGGUCCAGUUUUUGUAGGACCUGCAAAAGGCCAAUGUCAUCUGGGAUGCUUUCUAUGUUUAGGUUUAUGAGAUUUAACUCGGUUAACCAGAGGAAAUCUGAAAAGCUAUAACACUGGAAAGAGGCACUGUCUUUACGGUAGAUGAACUGCAUGAUGUCGAGUGAUUUAAAUCCGUAAAACUCAGACAUGAGCUUAGGCGUCUUUUGUACUUGCUUCAGAAAUUUGUUAGGGGUCCAUUGCUCGGAACUAAAGCAGAGGUGGUCUGCCUUUCCUCGGAGAUGUGACAACCAAAAAUUUAAUUUGCCAUGGAUGGCUAGACUCGUAAGAGAGUUCAGUGUAACUACAGCAUCUGGGAAACUCAAUGAAGCUUGCCGAAAAAGCCCUGGGCUACGUUUUUGAAGGGCAGGCAAUUCUCCUAUAAUCAUCUGAAGAUUGAUGAGGCGAUCACAGUGGGAUACAUCAAGUUUCUUCAGUGAAGGUAAGCUACCAAUUGUUUCCGGGAUUUGCUCCAACCUCGUGCAACCUUUAGCAAUCAGCUCCUCAAGCUUUGUUGCCCUUGAAAGAUCUGGAAGUUUGGUCAGAUUCUUAGAUCCAGUGACAUCUAGCAUCCUUAACUCCAAGAGCGACUGAAUAUCAUACAACAGAAAGGACAGUUUGGAUGGCGUUGGUGACAUUCUAAAUUUGUAAACGCUGAGAGUUGAAAACUGAAAAGCAAACUACAAGUUUCGUUUAUAGCUUACCAUUUUUCCAUCCCACAGGUUCUCCAGAUUGCUGUAACGCAGAUGAAGUUCAACAAGACGACUCAGAGGAAAUGUGGGAAGCAAGGUUGUUAAUGGAUAUGCGUCCCAAUGCAAUAGCCUAAGGCUGCGUGGAAGUACCAUACGAUUCUUUGAAUUGAUAUUCAGCUUGGACUCUCUAUCAUUUAAGUGUUUGAAGAAUUUGAGAAAUAUGAGAUUUUCCAUCUGCUCAAAAGCACUCCCAUCUAUGGAUGCUGCUCGGGGCAAUUCACACAUAUGUAGUGUCAUGCCUUGGAUUCUCUCUGUCCCCUGAUGAUUGAAUGUCAGAUUUACUUAGCAUACACAAAUAAAAGCACAAGAAGAAACCAUAUAAGACAAGUCCUAUGGAAGAAUAAAAAACAUGUCGUUCCUAGAAUACUUACUGUUUUGCUUUCCAGUACGCCAUAACUGUUAUGAGGAUCCCACAAAAUUCUUUGUUGUCGAGAGAGAAGGGUAGAAACACGGGAGACUGGUUCUCCAUUGAAAAGACAUGCGACCCUAAUGAAAAUGGUCUUGUCUCGUAGGUCCAGAUUGGUAUAGCUACUUCUUAAAAUAUCCAUGAUAUUCUGGUGAGGAGCUGUUUCAAGCGUGUCUAUUGCAUCUUCCCACUCGUCUAUAGAGGUCGCUCCACGGAGAAAUGAACCGAAAGCUACCAGGGCUAAAGGAAGACCUUGAGCGAGCUGAGAUGCUCGAAUCGCAAAACGUUCAUAUCCAUCAAGUGAAUCUAGCAAUCUUCUGUCACGUGUGGUUAUAAUGAUUCGGCUCCCUGGACCAAACCAGCUAGCCUCCUUUGCCAAGGCAUGUAACUGCUCCACUUUAUCAACACCAUCAAGCACAAAGAGAACCUUGAGGGUUCCAAGCCUUGACCGAAUAAGGUUUGCACCGUUUUGGAUGCUCAUCAAGGCCACUCGUUUUGUACUUAGAAUAUCGCAGAGAAGUUGUUGUUGUAUACAUUUUAGAUCAACUUUCUUACAGAUUUGGCCGACAUCUUCAAUGAAAGAAUGAGCUGGAAA
rnacentral:lncRNA from 1 species